CCUGAAGGAUGCCUUAAGGGCACCGCAUUAUUCUCAUCUUGGACCCCCACAUAUCCCUGCUGCAGAGGCCUGACAGGAAGCGUCAUCUCAGUGGGAGGCUUGGGCACCUCAUGAAGAACCAGAGACUGGAGAAUGCCUGAGCCCCUGCAGGCCCCAGUGCCUGCCGGCUUGCCUUCCCACUGGGCAGAGCUCCUCAGGGAUUUGGCUGAAAAAUCUGCAAGACCAGCCAAAUCACCUGGUGCCUCAGCACAACUCUGGGAAGCAUGACUCUAAGAGGAAAAGCUCCAGGCUGAUAGACAUUCUCCAGCAAUUAAACAUCCCUGUGCAAGGCCUGGGAGACUAGGAGCCAAACAUAUGAGUGCAAGGCCCAGGGACAGGGAAGAUCAAGGCACAAAUUCAGAAGAAGACAACAUUUUCAACAUAUCCACACCUGAAACUUCAAAGGGGAAUAUGAACUUUGCUCCAGCCCAAAAAGCCUUCUUGG